rnacentral:rRNA from 1 species
AUUGCCUUUUUAUUGUGGGCUUGUGAAUGGUUAAUUGAAACAUGUUAGAAUAUGAUAUUUUUGUCUGAAAUUAAUUUAGUAGUGAGGAAUCUACUAUUAUAUUAUAAGACGGAAAGACCCCGAGAGCUUAUAUUUAACUUUAUAUUUUGUUUGGGGCAAAUGUAAAUUGUUUAUUUAUUUUGUGAUCCUUUUGGAUUAAAGGUUAAAGUUACCUCGGGGAUAACUGAGUAAAGUGCAGGGAGAGAUCAUAUUGAUCUGUAGUGUUACUACCUCGAUGUUGGCUUAAGAAUUAACCUGUAUGGAGUAGAAGCUAUAUAAGGUGGUCUGUUCGACCAUUAAAUUCUUAUGAGUUGAG